rnacentral:rRNA from 1 species
UACGGAGGGUGCGAGCGUUGUCCGGAAUCAUUGGGCGUAAAGGGCGCGUAGGUGGCCUGCUAAGCGUGCGGUGAAAGUCGGGGGCUCAACCCCCGAUCGGCCGUGCGAACUGGGAGGCUUGAGCACUGUAGAGGCAGGCGGAAUUCCGGGUGUAGCGGUGGAAUGCGUAGAGAUCCGGAGGAAGACCGGUGGCGAAGGCGGCCUGCUGGGCAGUUGCUGACACUGAGGCGCGACAGCGUGGGGAGCAAACAGG